rnacentral:rRNA from 1 species
UAGGGAAUCUUCGGCAAUGGGGGCAACCCUGACCGAGCAACGCCGCGUGAGUGAAGAAGGUUUUCGGAUCGUAAAGCUCUGUUGUAAGAGAAGAACGUGUGUGAGAGUGGAAAGUUCACACAGUGACGGUAACUUACCAGAAAGGGACGGCUAACUACGUGCCAGCAGCCGCGGUAAUACGUAGGUCCCGAGCGUUGUCCGGAUUUAUUGGGCGUAAAGCGAGCGCAGGCGGUUUAAUAAGUCUGAAGUUAAAGUCAGUGGCUUAACCAUUGUUCGCUUUGGAAACUGUUAAACUGGAGUGCAGAAGGGGAGAGUGGAAUUCCAUGUGUAGCGGUGAAAUGCGUAGAUAUAUGGAGGAACACCGGUGGCGAAAGCGGCUCUCUGGUCUGUAACUGACGCUGAGGCUCGAAAGCGUGGGGAGCAAACAGG